CUUAUCGUAGCAGGAAACAGAAACAGGAGCGACCAGGUGAAACAAGUGACAAAGGGUUUCCCAGUGAACCAGAACUUCAGCAGGAACCUGAAACCGGCUCACCUCAGAGGAAUGCAGUGUAUGCCAGGUCCUCGAACGUGGGGCCCAGAACGGAGAUGCUCAUCCCCUGAAACAAAACGAGAGUGGAGUCACUGCACAGAUCUCCCUCCACCCCUCACAGCUUCCUCAAAGCAAAUUGAGGAAGAAGCAUAACCGCCCCAGAAGAAAGCAGGUACACAAGCCACAGGUGUACACUGAUGGAUUUCAUGAAUCUGAUCUGGUGGGUUGAAGAACAAGUUUUGCAGCUAUGUAAAUCCUGUCUGUGCAGGAUGUCACAACGUCACCUUUUACACAUUCACAACUC